UGAAGCGAUACUAAACUGUACUGGAAAAGCAAUGAAAGCGAGCUGAGCUGCAUCGUGCCGAGCCAAGUUGUACCCUACAUUGGAAAAGCGCCAUAUCAUGACAUCAGACCCUGCCUGGAACACAGAAAAGCAUGAGACAGUAAAAAGCAUCAGAUGUUUGGUUGUGUUUGAAUGCUUUCUCUAAACAAUUUCCCCAUGAACUAUGCAUGUAAACGAAAUUAACCAAGUACCUAUUCUGUCUUUCCCCUUCUUAAACAUCCUGUAAAACCAUAGCCAGAAAACUCACCAUCUCAGCUUGUUAUUAACAAUAUCCUUAUUUGUUCAAACAAAUAUACUGUAACUAUAUAACUUGCUAUACAAGUCAAAUAUACAAAUAUAACUUAUUAAUAAUCUUAUUAACAAAUAUUACCAAAUUAAAUUAUUUUAGCCAGGGAAACUUAAAUGGCACUACACUGAAAUGUCAUAUACCGUUAUAGUUAUAAAAGUAUAAAUUUUGACUCACAGCUCAAUAUGUGGUGGCCUGCAGGUCUUCAUUCUUGAUGGGAUUCGGAAACUGAACUACUGUGUCUUCACAGACAAAUAAUCCAAAAUCAGCCUAAAGCCGCCUUUCCACUGCACACGACAAACGACGGCCGAUAAGCCGGAAGUCAUUCAUUUCCUAUGGAGAGUCGCAAAGCGGAUGCGUGAGGUGCCGACCAUCUGCGGAUGCGUAAAUAUCGGAUCCGUUUUGACGGUUGGAUGCGUUAAAAAAUUUGAACUUGUGCGACUAAACCGCAUGCGAUAUGCCGACCGGAAGUUAAGUUUUUCAUUGUAUUCCAAUCACAAACUGUGUGUGAGGUGAAAAUGAUUAAUCCUUUUGGUUUAACUUUAUUAGUUACACUUGAAUCCUUAAAAAAACACUAUUGAUUACUGAUAAUAAAUACAUUAUUAAUUUAAUUUGUGUAUGUAAUUAUUUUAAUCUUGUCUUUAUAUGUUCUCUCAAAAAAAAUAUUGGCAAUCUUUGUCAUAUAUGCAUAGCUGUUUAUUGUUUCAUUCAUUUGCAUUCAUUUAUUUGCAUUCAUUUAUUUAUUCCACCAUGGUUAAAAUAUUAGAAUGAAGCCUCUUGCGCUGGAAUGAGCUUCCCUCCCAUAUACGAUUAAACUGAAACUUCAUUACGACUGCCACUAGGGGGAGAACUCCGACUGUCGUUUCCGUAUGUCGUGUGCCGUGGAAAGGCGGCUUAACUGGGCAUUCAGACCGCCACCGGCGAGAGCGUCAAAGUGGUCGGAAGUCAUUCAUUUUCAAUGAGAGCCGGCGGCGAGCUCUGGCGAGAAGCGGCGCGUCAUGUACAGCGUGAGCGUCGAGGAGAGUUGAAAUCAGCUCAACUUUAUGGUAAUGAGAUAUGACGCGGUUCGGCGGCAACCAAUCGGAAGGCGGAAAUGUUCACCGGCAACCAAUCGGAAGGCGGAAACCUCCGCCUGAGAGGAGUUCAGAGAAUGCAUUCGAGCGUCAGAGCGUCCACUACAACUUUUCUUUAGCGUCGUUGUCUGGGCAGCCAGAGCUUUUAUUGACGCUCUCGCCGGUGGCGGUCUGAAUGCACAGUAAGUGGAGUAAACAGCAUCAAGCCUCUCUUUAAUAGGGAACUCAUCUACAAAAACAAACACUUGUUAUACUUUUAUGAAUUAUCAAGUUGUACAACACACAGCCAGGGGCGCCGCUAGCAAUUUUGGGCCCUAUGAAAAAAUAGGGGGUCAGGCCCCCCCAUACCCAUUUCGUACCAAACAUACAAUCCAACCUGUAGCUAUUCAAAAUCUUUGUCUGUACUUUAUUAAUACAGAACUAUUUAUUUUGCUAUUGUUUAGACCACAGUUAUCAGUAUUUAUAGAUACCUAAAAUGUCUGCAGAUAAGAUAAUAUAUUGUGCAAUGCAAAUUUAAUUUUGAAAAAUACAGUACAUUAAAUCAAAUAUUCAGAGAAAAUGCAACAUUCUUAAAGAUUAAAGAUAAAUGUGACCAUGCCUGUGAAAACCCAGCUGAAGUAUUUCUUUGUGAUUUACUGUUUUCCACAUAAAAUCAUCCUAUAUAAUGUAAAGAACAUUUGUGAAAAUAUAAACUUGAUAUCUUUAAUGUUGACUGAGUAAUGUCAUGUCAGCGAUUGAAAUCAUAGUGAAAUUAAUGCUUGAAAUUAAACUGUGAUGCUUUUUAUCUCACAAUAAGAUUCAUAGUGAAAUUAAUGCUUGAAAUUAAACUGUGAUGCUUUUUAUCUCACAAUAAGAUUUUAAGCUUUAGUCUGAUUUUCAGAGACAGUCUUAGUGACAUACUGUAUACUUGAGUUGUUACACACACGACAUUGUAACAUUUAAAAAUGGCGAACAACAACAAUGCAUCUUUUCUAUGUACAUUAUGCCUGAAAUAAGACUGGGUCAACAAUGCUUGACCAAAGCGGCGUGGUGAGCUUGAACCUGCUUACAUCACGAGGCAUUUUUUGGACCCAACAUUCAAUAGGAAAAUUCAACUGCAGUAGCCACCGUUCAACCUGAAGAGGGCAGCACUCAGACGUUUUUACACCAUAUAUUGUAGUAUUGAAACACUUUAUAUCCAAAUGUCAAAAAACUUACUAAAAUCAAUGAACAGCACUAAUAAAACCCUAUUCUUACAGAUCACUAACUAAAAAAAAGUUGGUUUAUGGUUUAUUACUCUUUAAGAAAACAGCUAUACUGUUAUUAAAUGAUUCUUCAGACUGUUUUUUAAUCAACGGGGCUCUAAAAUGAAAUGAAUGACAACUUUAGCAGAUUACGACAUAGAUUUCCAUUGAUUUCUUAACCCUGUUGCAAGUUGAGAAGCUUUAAUAUACAUAAUUUGACUAGUUUAGCCUUAGUUGCAUUUCAGUUUUAUUACAACCAACUCGAUUUACGACUGCAUAAAAAUCAUUCCUUGGCAUAUUGCGUUACAAAACAAAACAGUGUGUAACCGAUCGCAUUUCUAGUUUAUGUUAAUUAGCUUAUACGGGCUACGUUAAUUAAAACAGCUUAUAAGGGCUGACUUCGCGUAAGAAUCAUAACAUAAAACAGGGAACGUAAAUCACCUUGUGUUUUUUUAAACUGAGGUGAACAGAGCGAAGACUUUACAGUGGAAAGAAAACUUCAUUGUAUUGCUCCAGCGUCACAUUGUGUAAACUGCAUUUAUAGUAAGGAAGUGCACAUAUGCAGAUAUCAUAGGAAAUAGCAGUAAAUACACGCACCUUGUUCUCUUCUGAAGUUCACGCGCACUGUGAGACCGUGGAUUGAAGACGGCGCUAAAACGCAGAGUAAAGACGGGGCGGAGCUAAGAGGGCUCAGCUUAAGGGGGUUGCGUGUGCGGCACGGUCCUUGGCUGGGGCCCUCAAAAGUUCAUGGGCCCUUAGAAUCGUCCUAACUUUUCCCCCCUUUACGGCACCCCUGCACACAGCAAUUAGGAUUUAGACAAACAAUCACAGAUUUUAUUAAUUUUAUUGUUUUGUCUAAUAAAUAUAGAAACAACUUGUGUUGUAAAAGAAAAGAUGACAGCAUAUCUCUUUAUCACGUGCCAGUAUAGACCCUUUUACUGUUUGUACACAAUGAUGACGUGGCAGCGUAUGCGCGCGCAUUUAGGCAACGGAAGUAUCGUAAGAAUCAAAAGUGAAGCAACACAAACAGUAAGUUAUUUUAAAAAAGUUGACUUUAUGAACAUUUUCAACACAGCUACCAGAUCCGUGUACUAUAGGGGAGUGGAUAGAAGACGUUAGCAGAUGGCCAAAAAUAAAGUUGCCACAUACAUAUAUACGUAUAUUAGUAUAUUAUAUUUGUGCAACCAAACGCAACAACCAGACAAUUUGAUGCUGGGAAACCGUUUUAAUAAACUUUCUGAGUUGCUACCACGUUAGAACCAAUGGGGAAUAACAACACUUCCGUUGCCCAAAUGCGCGCGCAGGCUAUUUGAUCACGUGAGCUGUAAAAGGGUAGGCCCAGACUGCGCGAGAGAACAUUUGAAUUAUCUGGCACGAGGCCUCACACGUCACACUUCAACUGACACAACGGUCUCGAUGCCUUUAAACAUCUAAACAUGUCCUCCAAAAAGGAAAAAGGAAAAACAUUGGAAAACAAUUUUAGCCUAAGGUUUCCUGUGCUGUUUUGCUCCAUUUUACUGAACAAAAUAAGGCUGAGGUAGCACCAUCCUUGUGGUUAGAGUGAAAGAAUGUGGGUAUUGAGACCAAAAUAAACAAUGUGCCAUUCUGGACAAACAGCUGUGGACAAUAUAUGCAGUCAGAGUAGCCUAUUUUCUCACACAGAAAGAGAAUUCCAGGCCAAAAGGACUCAACAGAGACAACAUU